GAUGAACGCUGGCGGCGUGCCUAAUACAUGCAAGUCGAGCGAACGGACGAGAAGCUUGCUUCUCUGAUGUUAGCGGCGGACGGGUGAGUAACACGUGGAUAACCUACCUAUAAGACUGGGAUAACUUCGGGAAACCGGAGCUAAUACCGGAUAAUAUUUUGAACCGCAUGGUUCAAAAGUGAAAGACGGUCUUGCUGUCACUUAUAGAUGGAUCCGCGCUGCAUUAGCUAGUUGGUAAGGUAACGGCUUACCAAGGCAACGAUGCAUAGCCGACCUGAGAGGGUGAUCGGCCACACUGGAACUGAGACACGGUCCAGACUCCUACGGGAGGCAGCAGUAGGGAAUCUUCCGCAAUGGGCGAAAGCCUGACGGAGCAACGCCGCGUGAGUGAUGAAGGUCUUCGGAUCGUNAAACUCUGUUAUUAGGGAAGAACAUAUGUGUAAGUAACUGUGCACAUCUUGACGGUACCUAAUCAGAAAGCCACGGCUAACUACGUGCCAGCAGCCGCGGUAAUACGUAGGUGGGCAGCGUUAUCCGGAAUUAUUGGGCGUAAAGCGCGCGUAGGCGGUUUUUUAAGUCUGAUGUGAAAGCCCACGGCUCAACCGUGGAGGGUCAUUGGAAACUGGGAAACUUGAGUGCAGAAGAGGAAAGUGGAAUUCCAUGUGUAGCGGUGAAAUGCGCAGAGAUAUGGAGGAACACCAGUGGCGAAGGCGACUUUCUGGUCUGUAACUGACGCUGAUGUGCGAAAGCGUGGGGAUCAAACAGGAUUAGAUACCCUGGUAGUCCACGCCGUAAACGAUGAGUGCUAAGUGUUAGGGGGUUUCCGCCCCUUAGUGCUGCAGCUAACGCAUUAAGCACUCCGCCUGGGGAGUACGACCGCAAGGUUGAAACUCAAAGGAAUUGACGGGGACCCGCACAAGCGGUGGAGCAUGUGGUUUAAUUCGAAGCAACGCGAAGAACCUUACCAAAUCUUGACAUCCUUUGACAACUCUAGAGAUAGAGCUUUCCCCUUCGGGGGACACAGUGACAGGUGGUGCAUGGUUGUCGUCAGCUCGUGUCGUGAGAUGUUGGGUUAAGUCCCGCAACGAGCGCAACCCUUAAGCUUAGUUGCCAUCAUUAAGUUGGGCACUCUAAGUUGACUGCCGGUGACAAACCGGAGGAAGGUGGGGAUGACGUCAAAUCAUCAUGCCCCUUAUGAUUUGGGCUACACACGUGCUACAAUGGACAAUACAAAGGGCAGCGAAACCGUGAGGUCAAGCAAAUCCCAUAAAGUUGUUCUCAGUUCGGAUUGUAGUCUGCAACUCGACUACAUGAAGCUGGAAUCGCUAGUAAUCGUAGAUCAGCAUGCUACGGUGAAUACGUUCCCGGGUCU
rnacentral:rRNA from 1 species